CAUGUCGCUCCAUUAAGAUUGGCUACUGAGGUCAUUCCAAGGACUCCCCAACACCAUCAACUUGAGUAGGGAAGGUCGUCAAGCGUUGUUUCUGUCCGGGGGGUCCCUGUACAGCCACUCUCUACCCUAUCAUGGCGAUGAUGUGGAGCGAGUCGAGACUCUGCAGGUUGUGACAAGAUGACCAUAGACCUGCCUGUUUUUCCAUGGCUACAACAGCUGAGCUGGUCGUUGACUAGCUGGAGGAACCUCCAAUCCUACUACCAGACAACUCUUGAGACAAGCCGUCAGAGGUCAGACAACUGGGCGGAGUUUACGGCUAGUACAGAUAUACAGAUUGUGGCUGAUGACCUCCUCGUGAUCGACAAAUCCCAAGAGGAUUAAAACUGGCAUUGAGAAGAAAGCUUGCAACGCUCUACUGCUGAAGAAAGUGGGUGUGGAUGAAUUCCCCGAGUUUCUUGGGGCACAGGCUACAAGCUUUGCCCUUUCACCCCUCAGCUCCUCGGCUGUGUGUAUCGGGGGGAGGUGUGAUGGACAGCGCUACCGAGGUCAAGCAUCAGAUGACGACCUCCGUUACUACAGACAAACUAGGGGUCAGAAGUCAGCUGGAGCACCGUUCUUUAUCAUACAAGAGGCUACACUGGCUACUGGUGACAACCAAAGACGAAAGAAGACAAACCUUCAGAGGUCAUAGUUGGUUGAGCUGAGCUACUACGGAUACUCACCCAUUUUUGGAGGAACCAUAAGGAUAUAGAUAAUGUAUAGACCCCUAUAUAUAUGUAGCUAUUAGCUAUGGCUACUAUUUUUAUGACCUCCAAAUAUUCAUUAAACAUCUUGUAAGUCUGCAAACAGAUCUAGCUAGCAAAUUUAACAGGUUGUUGAAGGUG